rnacentral:rRNA from 1 species
CAGGUUUACCUGUGUGACUGCGUACCUUUUGUAUAAUGGGUCAGCGACUUAUAUUCUGUAGCAAGGUUAACCGAAUAGGGGAGCCGGAGGGAAACCGAGUCUUAACCGGGCGUUAAGUUGCAGGGUAUAGACCCGAAACCCGGUGAUCUAGCCAUGGGCAGGUUGAAGGUUGGGUAACACUAACUGGAGGACCGAACCGACUAAUGUUGAAAAAUUAGCGGAUGACCUGUGGCUGGGGGUGAAAGGCCAAUCAAACCGGGAGAUAGCUGGUUCUCCCCGAAAGCUAUUUAGGUAGCGCCUCGUGAAUUCAUCUCCGGGGGUAGAGCACUGUUUCGGCUAGGGGGCCAUCCCGGCUUACCAACCCGAUGCAAACUGCGAAUACCGGAGAAUGUUAUCACGGGAGACACACGGCGGGUGCUAACGUCCGUCGUGAAGAGGGAAACAACCCAGACCGCCAGCUAAGGUCCCAAAGUCAUGGUUAAGUGGGAAACGAUGUGGGAAGGCCCAGACAGCCAGGAUGUUGGCUUAGAAGCAGCCAUCAUUUAAAGAAAGCGUAAUAGCUCACUGGUCGAGUCGGCCUGCGCGGAAGAUGUAACGGGGCUAAACCAUGCACCGAAGCUGCGGCAGCGAACGUAUCACUUAAAGCGAUUCAGCGGGUUACGAUUGACGGAGCGAAGCGACGUCAAAGCGUAUACAAAGUCGAGUCGGUUUA